AAACGCAACGCUUGUCAGUUUACAAAAGAGGUUUAUUGAGGGAAAAAAGGGAAGAGGGGAGACGGGAGGUGAGAAGAGGUAAACUGGACGCCGGCAGACGUGAGCGCGGAGGAGCUGGCGGGGGCCGGCAAGGCUCGAGCGAGGCGACUGAGAGGGGGCAGGAGGCCGAGGCCGAGGCGAGGGGAGAAGGCAGGUAGGCGAGCCCAGCUGACUGACUGGAUGGCGGGAGACAAGACAGGGUUAGUCUCGGGAGACAACAGGUUAGGGAACGAGGUAUCAGAGAGCUUGGAACGCCGAAGUGGCACCAGGACUGGAGCGACGACGAUCAAGCGGAGAUGGUAGAAAUACUGUUGAAGAUGAGACUGAUGGCAGGCAGGUGUGGCGGGCGAAGGUGGAGGUUGACGAGACACAGGUUUUGCCAAUAUUUACCACCACAAAAGUGUCCCUGAACAAGGCCCUUAACCUCAACUGCUCCAGUAGAGCUGCUCAGUGGCCAGCACAUCAGACAGUGGCUGUACUGGGCAGCUUCCAGGUGUGAUUGUGUAACGGUGUGAAUGUGAUCAGGGUCUUCCUGCAAAAGAGAGGCUUCCUCUCAGUGAAGCUCCCCUGAGUAAAUUCAUUCUGUGUUUCCUGUUUUACCAUGUAACUCACCUCUCCUCUUGUUAAUUAUUGCAACACUUCCUGCGUGUGUUUCCCGCCUGUGUAAUUGUCGAAUCCGCCCUGAUUUGUUUCUCCUUUGCCUUGUUAUCCUCACCCCUCUCAUGUACUUAGUUUGCCUGUUUCCCUCACUCUGUGCCAGGUCAUCUUUGUCUCUUGACCUUACGUUCCAGCCUUUUCCCCUAGAGUUAGUUUACCUGUGUUUUGGACUUUCUGUGUUUUCCCCCUGAGACCUUGGCUGUUUAUUUGACUGUGGAUUCUUGCCUGUAUCCUUUUGCACUUGUUUGCAUGUGUUGGACUACUACCUGAUUAUGACCCUUGACUGCCUCACCUUGUUGUAAGCUUGUUUGAUUUAUCAUUAAAUCAUAGAACUGCA